AGAUCUCAUUUUGAUCAGCAGGAUUGUGACUAGAAAACAACUUGCCAGUCUCCUGCCUCAUAAUGGCAGAAGGCAUUGAGUGUCUCUUCGUGUGAUUCGGAUGUGCCUGUAGCUUUUAUGGAGAAUUGGGUCUUCUUGUAGUCUCCACACUGCCUUCCACAAUGGUUGAACUAAUUUAGACAUCCACCAACGGUGUACUCCAUCAGGAAUUGUUUGGGACCAUGCAUUCUGUUGCCCACUGCCAACCCGAAAGCCACCAAGGUAGCAGAGUUUCACUCUGUCUCCAGAGUCUCCAGCCCAGGCUGGAGUGCUAUGGCGCAAUCAUGGAUCACUGCAACUUCCGCCUCCUGGGUUCAAGCGAUUCUUGUGCCUCAGCCUCCCGAGUGACUGGGAUUAUAGGUGUGUGGCACUACGCCUGGCUAAUUCUUUUGUAUUUUUAG
rnacentral:lncRNA from 10 species